rnacentral:tRNA from 3 species
GGUGAGGUGUCCGAGUGGUUGAAGGAGCACGCCUGGAAAGCGUGUAUAGGUUUAUCCCUAUCGAGGGUUCGAAUCCCUCCCUCACCGCCA